rnacentral:rRNA from 1 species
GUUAGUUGGUGGGGUAAAGGCCUACCAAGACUAUGAUGUGUAGCCGGGCUGAGAGGUUGAACGGCCACAUUGGGACUGAGACACGGCCCAAACUCCUACGGGAGGCAGCAGUAGGGAAUUUUCGGCAAUGGAGGAAACUCUGACCGAGCAACGCCGCGUGAACGAUGAAGUAUUUCGGUACGUAAAGUUCUUUUAUUAGGGAAGAAUAAAUGAUGGAAAAAUCAUUCUGACGGUACCUAAUGAAUAAGCCCCGGCUAACUAUGUGCCAGCAGCCGCGGUAAUACAUAGGGGGCAAGCGUUAUCCGGAAUUAUUGGGCGUAAAGGGUGCGUAGGCGGUUAAAUAAGUUUAUGGUCUAAGUGCAAUGCUCAACAUUGUGAUGCUAUAAAAACUGUUUAGCUAGAGUAAGAUAGAGGCAAGUGGAAUUCCAUGUGUAGUGGUAAAAUGCGUAAAUAUAUGGAGGAACACCAGUAGCGAAGGCGGCUUGCUGGGUCUUUACUGACGCUGAGGCACGAAAGCGUGGGGAGCAAACAGGAUUAGAUACCCUGGUAGUCCACGCCGUAAACGAUGAGUACUAAACGUUGGGUAAAACCAGUGUUGAAGUUAACACAUUAAGUACUCCGCCUGAGUAGUACGUACGCAAGUAUGAAACUUAAAGGAAUUGACGGGACUCCGCACAAGCGGUGGAUCAUGUUGUUUAAUUCGAAGGUACCCGAAAAACCUCACCAGGUCUUGACAUGCUUCUGCAAAGCUGUAGAAACACAGUGGAGGUUAUCAGUUGCACAGGUGGUGCAUGGUUGUCGUCAGCUCGUGUCGUGAGAUGUUGGGUUAAGUCCCGCAACGAGCGCAACCCUUAUUGUUAGUUACCAGCACGUAAUGGUGGGGACUUUAGCAAGACUGCCAGUGAUAAAUUGGAGGAAGGUGGGGACGACGUCAAAUCAUCAUGCCCCUUAUGACCUGGGCUACAAACGUGAUACAAUGGCUGUUACAAAGGGUAGCUGAAGCGCAAGUUUUUGGCGAAUCUCAAAAAAACAGUCUCAGUUCGGAUUGAAGUCUGCAACUCGACUUCAUGAAGUUGGAAU